rnacentral:guide_RNA from 1 species
GUUAAUAAUACAUGGUUGGGUGAUGAAAAUGUGUGAUAGAUGAUGGA